CAGCUGGACUGUGUGAUUUUUGUUCUUUAGUAGAAGGAUAACAUGACAUAGCAGGAAUAAUACUGCCUUUUCUUUCUGGCAUGGAUCAAGAGAAAAGAAAAUACAAGAAAACAGACAGAAGAUCCUAUCUGCGACAAUUAAGAGCACUCUAAGAGGAAAACACAUCCCACCACACAAGGCAAGGUACUUCUAUGGAAGGGUGAGCCCUCACAGAUGGAGCAAUGGGGCGCGCACACCUGAACAAGGGAGGGGAAGGAGUUCUUAUCCCUGAUGCAUGUGACCCCUGCUGCUGUGUCCUUCCCCUAUUGGCUAAGGCUUCUGACAGCUUUGGAGAUUGUGACAUUGGAAUAAAGGAAAAACGUACAGGACUCAUGAAGCGCUGAAAUGUUCACAAAUAUCAAGCAAAAGUCAAUGAAAUUUAUUUUGAGCUAUUUACAUCAUUUAAUAAUUGAGCAAGGUAUACUCCUAUGAACAAAAUUUGGAGCAUGUUUGUCUCUCUCUGCCUGGCGUCUUCAGAAUUUGGAAACUAGUUGUCAGGAGUUAACUUUUAUGUGACAAGCUUUACUAGGUCAGGAGCCUAUCGCUGUUUAUAUUCUCUGCAAAGUUUUAAUUGUGAAAAAGGAUUUGAGAUGGUUUAUAAUCAGCUAUAGAAUUUUAACACGUGCUCUCAAAUGCAAGUUUCUGAUAACUUUGGAGAUUGUGACAUUGGAAUAAAGGAAGAGCUGGAAUGUUCAUGAAUAUCAAGCAAAAGUCAUGGAAAUUUAUUUUGAGCUAUUUACAGCAUUUAAUAAUUGAGCAAGGUAUACUCCUAUGAACAAAAUUUGGAGCAUGUUUGUCUCUCUCUGUCUGCCUGGCAUCUACAGAAUUUGGAAACUAGUUUCGUUCCCAGAUUUCCUAAACUUUCCAGAGAAAAUGGUCUUCUCCCUGGCUCAGCAAGAAGAUGAACUUUAAACACUGAGAAACUGGUCAUCUCCCUGGCUCAACCAGAAGAUGAACUUUAAACACUACUCUCAAUGACUUGAUGUUCCCAUCACUACUCCUGUCAUAAAGGGAGGGGACUCAGAUAUUGAGAAUUUUAUGAUAGUGUGAACUGUCUGGUAUGUCAUUUAAGUAAGCCCGUUGCUGAAAUAUUUUCCAUGUUAUUAGAAAGAGCUGAAGAGAGGGAUUGAGAUGGCUUCUUUAUUUUUUGUCUUUUGGGAAUUAAAGGAACCUGGUUCAACAAGGGCCUACACCUAAGUCUCUUGUUGUACCAGAGUACAAUUUAGGACUGCUCCUGAGGAAGGAAUUAGCUAGAAAUCUAGAGAGUAAGGGUAACAGAUUUACAUAGAAUAACAGCCUCAGUAUUUUUGGUUCCUCUCCAGUAAAGAUCACAAAGAAUAUUGCUAAAUCGCUAAAACACCUUUGCAAUAACGUAAGGGCUUACAACUAUAUACCAAUGUAGCUCAGUUACUAAACUGGAGUAAACUAAUUUCUCUUGUGUAGAAAAAUUGGUUGGCUGUGGUUUUAUAGCAGAUCUGCAAUUAUUAAUAGUUAUGCCAAUAAUCGUUUAACAGUGCAUAUGUUAAUAUAUAUGGAAAGACAAUGUGUAUAGACAGAUGUGUAAAAUUGAAAAAUAAACAUAUAACAAGAGAGAAACAUCUAUCGAACAGACAAUAUACAUACACAUCAAACACAACAGCAGUUUUAGUGACCAUAAUAUUUAUUUCUCAUUUUUACAUUGCUUACUUUAGUGACAACUGAAAAUGACAGUUGGCAAUGCAGCUAACAGUUUCAAUAAAAGUAUAAAACAAAA
rnacentral:lncRNA from 1 species